AAAACAACAGUUUUGUUGGCAUGUGAAGCUCCAGUUUCCUCAGAGUCAAGCUGUGUACAUAGAGAAGAGAGUACCAGAUGAUAAAACUAUUAAUGAAAUCCUAAGACCUUACAUUGAUCCUGAAAAGUCUGAUCCUGUAAUUCGUCAAAGGUUGAAAGCCUACAUUCGCUCUCAGACUGGGGUCCAAAUUUUAAUGAAGGUGGAAUAUAUGCAACAAAAUUUAGUAAGGUAA